CAUGGGCGCAGCCUGAUGCAGCCAUGCCGCGGUGGUAUGAAGAAGGCCUUCGGGUUUGUAAAGUACUUUCAGCGGGGAGGAAGGGAGUAAAGUUAAUACCUUUCGCUCAUGGACGUUACCCGCAGAAGAAGCACCGGCUAACUCCGUGCCAGCAGCCGCCGGUAAUACGGA
rnacentral:rRNA from 2 species